CUUUAAUUCUUUCUUAUUUAAGCUUUUUUAACGCAAAGAUUUUUUACAGAUACAAGUAUACGAACACUGAUACAGAUACAAGUAUACGACACUGUCUGUAAAAAAAAUUAGAAUUAAAAACGAAAAUGGAUAAUAAUACACUGCAUAGUCAAAAUCUUUUAAUGUUUUGAAGUACUUAGAGAAUACUGAGAAGAUAAAAGUUCUUCUAAUUUGCAAAUUUGUAAAAUGAGCUAUAAUUUUAAAAAUGAAAAUGUAUGUAAGUAUUGCCUCGAUGAUUCUAAUAACAAUUUGAUGCGACCUUGCAACUGCACCGGCUCUAUAGGUUAUGCGCACGAGGAUUGCGUUAUAAAGUGGUUACUUACAAAAAAAAACUGGAAAUGUGAAUUGUGUCAAAAGACGAUAAAUAUAGAACCUAACGGAUUCAAGUAUCCUAACGAGUGGAACUUUCCGCCAAUAACGUUUGAUUGGAUACUUUUUGUUUACUUUUUAUCAACGGUACUGCUAUUAGCGGUGGUUAUUAAUGUUGGAGUGAUGCUUUAUAACAAAUGCACAAGUACAUAUUGUAUGAAUUAUUAUGGAUUCAUGCCUGUUGUUAUAAUAUAUUUAUCGCUUUCAUUUUGUCAUUUGAAGAUACCUUUUUUAAAAUUUAGACAGUGGGUUGAAACAAACCGAAGAUGGAAAUUAGUUGAACAAAAAAAUUGAUUUUAUUUUUUAAUUUAUAAAUGUUGUUAAAUAAAAAUUUAUAUCAUACCAGUUGUAUGAAGCAAUUUGUAUAUAUUGCGAGUUAUGUGAAUCGUUACAUUAUUUUAUUUUAGAUGUCUGUGAGCUUUAUUUGUUUUAUUUUGAAAACUGUUACAAUAGUUUCUUGUAUAUAUUUAUAUAUAUAU